rnacentral:rRNA from 1 species
AGUGAACGCUGGCGGUGGGCCUAACGCAUGCAAGUCGAACGGCAGCACAGGAGAGCUUGCUCUCUGGGUGGCGAGUGGCGGACGGGUGAGGAAUACAUCGGAAUCUACUUUUUCGUGGGGGAUAACGUAGGGAAACUUACGCUAAUACCGCAUACGACCUACGGGUGAAAGCCGGGGACCUUCGGGCCUGGCGCGGAUAA